AUCCAUUUUCAAAUGCAAAGGACACCUUCAUUCAAAACAAUACAUAAACUUUAUAAGCAGUUAAAUAAGGAUGGUUCACUAUUGGAGAGGACAUAUGGCUGGCAGGCAACUGUAUAUGCACAGUUUCUUGUUGGCCACACAUCCUCUCCAACAGUUCUCCACAGCACAUACAGGCUUACCUUUACAAUUCCAAUUCAUGAGAAUGGAACCAGGUUGCACACAAACAAAUGGUUAUUUUGAACUUUCUUCACAUUUUAAAAUUGCGUGUAACCUCAAACCAUUUUCCUGAUUAAUUCUCGUGAACAAAAUUAGCUCCUGAAUAGUCCUGAUUUAAACCCAUGUGAUUACUUUCUUUUGGAAUUCCUUAAAUCUGCAUUCCACAACACCAGAAUGUACUGCAGAAAAAACAACAGAAGCUCAAAUGUGAUGUAACUUCCUGUUUAUAAUGUAUUGCUCAGCAAAUUGUGAGCAGAAAAGUAGAACAGACAAAAUUUCAACUCAACAAAGUUUCUGCAGC
rnacentral:lncRNA from 1 species